rnacentral:RNase_P_RNA from 1 species
CAACCAGAGAGAAUCGCGCAGACAAUUGUCUGUGAGGAAAGUCCGUGCUCGCACAGGCUGAGAUGUCUGUAGUGUUCGUGCCUAGCGAAACAAUAAGCUAGGGCAGUUCGGCUGCUUGCUGGACUGACGGCAGGGAAAAUACCUAAGUCCUUCUUUGGAUAGGAUAUGGUAUGAAUACCUUGAAAGUGCCACAGUGACGGAGCUUUAAGGGAAACCUUGAAGGUGGAACGAGGUAAACCCCACGAGCGAGAAACCCAAAUUUGGUAGGGGAAGUGUCAGAAGGGAACAUUUUAACCAACUGACGCCAUAACAUAGUUAUGAGAUAGAUGGUUCUCCAUCAUGUGCGAGAAGAAACCCUUCGCUUGCAGCACUCGAUGAACAAAACACGGCUUACGAGG